GAUGAGCGCUAGCGGCAGGCUUAACACAUGCAAGUCGAGGGGUAGAAGUAGCUUGCUACUUUGAGACCGGCGCACGGGUGCGUAACGCGUAUGCAACCUACCUUCAACAGGGGGAUAGCCCAGAGAAAUUUGGAUUAAUACCCCAUCAGUAUUAUAGUGUGGCAUCACAUUAUUAUUAAAGUUCCAACGGUUGAAGAUGGGCAUGCGUCCCAUUAGCUGGAUGGUAAGGUAACGGCUUACCAUGGCUACGAUGGGCAGGGGUCCUGAGAGGAGAUCCCCACACUGUGACUGAGACACGGACCAGACUCCUACGGGAGGCAGCAGUGAGGAAUAUUGGUCAAUGGGCGCAAGCCUGAACCAGCCAUGCCGCGUGCAGGAUGAAGCAUCUAUGGUGUGUAAACUGCUUUUGUACGGGAAGAAACACCGGAACGCGUUCUGGCUUGACGGUACCGUAAGAAUAAGGAUCGGCUAACUCCGUGCCAGCAGCCGCGGUAAUACGGAGGAUCC
rnacentral:rRNA from 1 species